rnacentral:lncRNA from 1 species
AAAAGAUAAUGAAUGAUUUAAAAACAAAUCAGUUUAAAAAGUUGUUUUAAAAAUUUGGAAAUUGGUCGAAGGCGGCCAAAUUUUUUAGUUUAAAAAAUAAACUAAUUCGAGAUACGGCAACACUGCAUCAACUUGUGAGUUGAAUAAUGACGAACUGCUGAACGUUCGAAAAAUUGGAGGGAAAUUCAGCGGUAAAAAUUGCCCGAAGAACAGGCAUCGUUGACAUCAAAACCAAGAAUAUCUACAGCUGAGCGUUCAAAAAAUUGGAAGGAAACACAGCGGAAAAAAUUGCCUGAGGAACAGGCGCCAUCGACAUCUAAACAGGCUGUUGCCGAACAUUCGAGAAAACGGAGGAGAAUAGAAAAACAACAGGAGCCAUUUCAUGAUGCGGGUGAAAUGACCGAUAAAUGUCAAUAUUGUGAUGCAAUAUUCUGGAAAAAUGAAUUCUGUAAAAAGAGUUGCUAUCAUGGAGAAAAAGCAAAAUUGCCAGAGUUAGCACCAUUUCCCAUUGAAUUACAACAAAUUUUUUAUGAUAAAACUUUCAGAAAUGAUAUCCGGUUAUUUAACUGCAUGUUUGCUUUUGCUACUUUUCAUUUUGUGGGUGAGGCUGCCAAGGGGUUUGGGGCGCCUUUGGCGGCCAGGAGCGACAGCCCCCUAGUAUAAUAUAAAUAUACAAAAUUAUAUUCUCUGCGAAAUUUCCCAUGUCCGGUUUCAAUAUGAGAAACCUUCUUUUUACUUUGUCUAAGUUAUUUUUUUUAAAAUCAAUUUUACCUUCCU